rnacentral:rRNA from 1 species
GAUGAACGCUGGCGGCGUGCCUAAUACAUGCAAGUCGAGCGAACAGACGAGGAGCUUGCUCCUCUGACGUUAGCGGCGGACGGGUGAGUAACACGUGUAUAACCUACCUAUAAGACUGGGAUAACUUCGGGAAACCGGAGCUAAUACCGGAUAAUAUAUUGAACCGCAUGGUUCAAUAGUGAAAGACGGUUUUGCUGUCACUUAUAGAUGGAUCCGCGCCGCAUUAGCUAGUUGGUAAGGUAACGGCUUACCAAGGCAACGAUGCGUAGCCGACCUGAGAGGGUGAUCGGCCACACUGGAACUGAGACACGGUCCAGACUCCUACGGGAGGCAGCAGUAGGGAAUCUUCCGCAGUGGGCGAGAGCCUGACGGAGCAACGCCGCGUGAGUGAUGAAGGUCUUCGGAUCGUAAAACUCUGUUAUUAGGGAAGAACAAAUGUGUAAGUAACUAUGCACGUCUUGACGGUACCUAAUCAGAAAGCCACGGCUAACUACGUG